rnacentral:tmRNA from 1 species
GGGGGCGACAUGGCUUCGACGCCGAUGACAACCUCCUAGGUGCAUGCCGAGAGCGUGAUGUAUCUCGUAAAUCCAACAUCACGACUAAAUAGUCGCAAACGACGACAACUACGCUCAGGGCGCACUGGCAGCUUAAAUAGCUGUUAGUUGUUAGCCUGGCCCAGAAGUUACGUGCCCAUUCGUGACGGACGGGAUAAGAGCCAAAGAUAAUGGGAUCGCGGUUGGUAGCGUCUUCCUGCCAAACGUUAAACCUUAGAAGAAUCGCGGUACUGGAUCCUGCCCGUCGGAGCCAGGCCCGUUAAAUCAAAAGACGGACCUAAGCAUGUAGAGCCGAAGAGUGCGUGUCGGCGGACGCGGGUUCAAUUCCCGCCGCCUCCACCA